CACAGCGCAACGACAGCUGGACCAUGCACAGCAUCUGCCUCCAGACAGCAUAUUUCCCCGAUUACCACACCGGUGAAAUAAUUGCCCACGGAUUAAAAGAUGCUCUCAGUUCCUGGGGAAAUUGUUGAAUUACAGAGCCUCAUUAACUUGCGUCAUUAACUUGUUCAUUAAAUUGUUUACAUGCGUUUUUUUAUUCUGAGGACAAUUACAGCAAUAAAGUUACUUUUGACAGUAUAUCUGAUGUCUGCAGUAAUUUUUAAGUGCAUUGAAAGAAAAAAUCGAAAAUCGAAUCGAAACUCGAAUUUUUCUUUAAAAAAUCAGAGAUUUUUCUUUUUUAGACCAAAUCGCCCAGCCCUAGUCCAGGUGUUACCUGAAGGACCCGUGUCCAGGUGUUACCUGAAGGACCCGUGUCCAGGUGUUACCUGAAGGACCCGUGUCCAGGUGUUACCUGAAGGACCCGUGUCCAGGUGUUACCUGAAGGACCCGUGUCCAGGUGUUACCUGAAGGACCCGUGUCCAGGUGUUACCUGAAGGACCCGUGUCCAGGUGUUACCUGAAGGACCCGUGUCCAGGUGUUACCUGAAGGACUCGUGUCCAGGUGUUACCUGAAGGACCCGUGUACAGGUGUUACCUGAAGGACCCGUGUCCAGGUGUUACCUGAAGGACCCGUGUCCAGGUGUUACCUGAAGGACUCGUGUCCAGGUGUGUCGAUGAUCAGCAUGCCUGGGAUCUUCAGGUUGUCCUUGUCAAA